rnacentral:rRNA from 2 species
GUCUGCGUGGAGCCGACCUUGAAAUACCACCCUUUAAUGUUUGAUGUUCUAACGUGGAUCCGUAAUCCGGGUUGCGGACAGUGUCUGGUGGGUAGUUUGACUGGGGCGGUCUCCUCCUAAAGAGUAACGGAGGAGCACGAAGGUUGGCUAAUCCUGGUCGGACAUCAGGAGGUUAGUGCAAUGGCAUAAGCCAGCUUGACUGCGAGCGUGACGGCGCGAGCAGGUGCGAAAGCAGGUCAUAGUGAUCCGGUGGUUCUGAAUGGAAGGGCCAUCGCUCAACGGAUAAAAGGUACUCCGGGGAUAACAGGCUGAUACCGCCCAAGAGUUCAUAUCGACGGCGGUGUUUGGCACCUCGAUGUCGGCUCAUCACAUCCUGGGGCUGAAGUAGGUCCCAAGGGUAUGGCUGUUCGCCAUUUAAAGUGGUACGCGAGCUGGGUUUAGAACGUCGUGAGACAGUUCGGUCCCUAUCUGCCGUGGGCGCUGGAGAACUGAGGGGGGCUGCUCCUAGUACGAGAGGACCGGAGUGGACGCAUCACUGGUGUUCGGGUUGUCAUGCCAAUGGCACUGCCCGGUAGCUAAAUGCGGAAGAGAUAAGUGCUGAAAGCAUCUAAGCACGAAACUUGCCCCGA